rnacentral:rRNA from 1 species
UACGUAGGGUGCAGGCGUUAAUCGGAAUUACUGGGCGUAAAGCGUGCGCAGGCGGUCUUUUAAGUCAGAUGUGAAAUCCCCGGGCUUAACCUGGGAACUGCGUUUGAAACUGGAAGGCUAGAGUGUGGCAGAGGGGGGUGGAAUUCCACGUGUAGCAGUGAAAUGCGUAGAUAUCUGGAGGAAUACCGGUGGCGAAGGCGGCAUCCUGGACCGAGAUUGACGCUGAGGAGCGAAAGCUAGGGGAGCAAACGGG